CUUUUACAAUGAAGAGUUUGAUCCUGGCUCAGGAUGAACGCUAGCUACAGGCUUAACACAUGCAAGUCGAGGGGCAGCAUUUCAGUUUGCUUGCAAACUGGAGAUGGCGACCGGCGCACGGGUGAGUAACACGUAUCCAACCUGCCGAUAACUCGGGGAUAGCCUUUCGAAAGAAAGAUUAAUACCCGAUGGUAUAAUCAGACCGCAUGGUCUUAUUAUUAAAGAAUUUCGGUUAUCGAUGGGGAUGCGUUCCAUUAGGCAGUUGGUGAGGUAACGGCUCACCAAACCUUCGAUGGAUAGGGGUUCUGAGAGGAAGGUCCCCCACAUUGGAACUGAGACACGGUCCAAACUCCUACGGGAGGCAGCAGUGAGGAAUAUUGGUCAAUGGGCGCAGGCCUGAACCAGCCAAGUAGCGUGAAGGAUGACUGCCCUAUGGGUUGUAAACUUCUUUUAUAUGGGAAUAAAGUUUUCCACGUGUGGAAUUUUGUAUGUACCAUAUGAAUAAGGAUCGGCUAACUCCGUGCCAGCAGCCGCGGUAAUACGGAGGAUCCGAGCGUUAUCCGGAUUUAUUGGGUUUAAAGGGAGCGUAGGUGGACAGUUAAGUCAGUUGUGAAAGUUUGCGGCUCAACCGUAAAAUUGCAGUUGAUACUGGCUGUCUUGAGUACAGUAGAGGUGGGCGGAAUUCGUGGUGUAGCGGUGAAAUGCUUAGAUAUCACGAAGAACUCCGAUUGCGAAGGCAGCUCACUGGACUGCAACUGACACUGAUGCUCGAAAGUGUGGGUAUCAAACAGGAUUAGAUACCCUGGUAGUCCACACAGUAAACGAUGAAUACUCGCUGUUUGCGAUAUACAGUAAGCGGCCAAGCGAAAGCAUUAAGUAUUCCACCUGGGGAGUACGCCGGCAACGGUGAAACUCAAAGGAAUUGACGGGGGCCCGCACAAGCGGAGGAACAUGUGGUUUAAUUCGAUGAUACGCGAGGAACCUUACCCGGGCUUAAAUUGCAUUUGAAUAUAUUGGAAACAGUAUAGUCGUAAGACAAAUGUGAAGGUGCUGCAUGGUUGUCGUCAGCUCGUGCCGUGAGGUGUCGGCUUAAGUGCCAUAACGAGCGCAACCCUUAUCUUUAGUUACUAACAGGUCAUGCUGAGGACUCUAGAGAGACUGCCGUCGUAAGAUGUGAGGAAGGUGGGGAUGACGUCAAAUCAGCACGGCCCUUACGUCCGGGGCUACACACGUGUUACAAUGGGGGGUACAGAAGGCAGCUACCUGGUGACAGGAUGCUAAUCCCAAAAGCCUCUCUCAGUUCGGAUCGAAGUCUGCAACCCGACUUCGUGAAGCUGGAUUCGCUAGUAAUCGCGCAUCAGCCAUGGCGCGGUGAAUACGUUCCCGGGCCUUGUACACACCGCCCGUCAAGCCAUGAAAGCCGGGGGUACCUGAAGUACGUAACCGCAAGGAGCGUCCUAGGGUAAAACUGGUAAUUGGGGCUAAGUCGUAACAAGGUAGCCGUACCGGAAGGUGCGGCUGGAACACCUCCUUU
rnacentral:rRNA from 1 species